rnacentral:rRNA from 1 species
AUGCAAGUCGAGGGGCAGCAUGGUCUUAGCUUGCUAAGACUGAGUGGCGACCGGCGCACGGGUGAGUAACACGUAUCCAACCUGCCGUCUACUCUUGGACAGCCUUCUGAAAGGAAGAUUAAUACAAGAUGGCAUCAUGAGUCCGCAUGUUCACAUGAUUAAAGGUAUUCCGGGUAGACGAUGGGGAUGCGUUCCAUUAGAUAGUAGGCGGGGUAACGGCCCACCUAGUCUUCGAUGGAUAGGGGUUCUGAGAGGAAGGUCCCCCACAUUGGAACUGAGACACGGUCCAAACUCCUACGGGAGGCAGCAGUGAGGAAUAUUGGUCAAUGGACGAGAGUCUGAACCAGCCAAGUAGCGUGCAGGAUGACGGCCCUAUGGGUUGUAAACUGCUUUUAUAAGGGAAUAAAGUGGGAGUCGUGACUCUUUUUGCAUGUACCUUAUGAAUAAGGACCGGCUAAUUCCGUG